CGCGCGACCGGGUCAUGCAGGUGCAGACUGGCCGGUCGCUUCCCGCCCUCCAGCCACCCGCAGCUCCCCGGCAGGCGAAGGGCGGCCGCGCGGGUGUGGGCCGGGAGAAGGAGGCGGCUCGGCUGGAGCGCGCCGUCCGCCCGACCCCCGCCGCCUCUCGGGCGCCUGCGCUCACGCUGCGGGGCCCGGCGCAUUGUGAGCCGGGUCGAGCUCCACGCUGGCAGCGUCUGAGAGCUGUCCUGGGCCGGAGGUGGCGCGAACCCUGUGCGGCCUAGAGUGGGCCUGGGAUGCCUCAGCACUAAUGAUCAUGAUCAGAGACCCCGAGUUCUCUCGUGCUGCUACGCUUCGCAACACAUAGCACAAAUGGAAUAUGUGUUGACACACCCCUCUAAAGUUAAGAUCUUUGAUAUUAAGACCCUGACUUUUUUCCCUUUCAUUCUUCCGAACCCUCUGUGUACUUUGAGCAGCACUGUGGUUGAUUAAUAAAUCAUCAAAUGUGAAAGG
rnacentral:antisense_RNA from 1 species